UACGUAGGGGGCUAGCGUUGUCCGGAAUCAUUGGGCGUAAAGAGCGUUGUAGGCGGCCCGGUAAGUCCGCUGUAAAAGUCAAAGGCUCAACCUUUGAAUGUCAGUGGAUACUGCCGGGCUAGAGUCCGGAAGAGGCGAGUGGAACUCCUGGUGUAGCGGUGGAAUGCGCAGAUAUCAGGAAGAACACCAACGGCGAAGGCAGCUCGCUGGGACGGUACUGACGCUGAGACGCGAAAGCGUGGGGAGCGAACAGG
rnacentral:rRNA from 1 species